rnacentral:ncRNA from 1 species
GUUGUGAGGCUUGGGGCUAAAGAAAGUGUGUAAUAAAACAGAUGACUAACGAAAAAAUUUACUAUAAGGCUACAUAAAUGGAUAAGGCUGCAAUACAGACUAAAGUCCAAAAGAUACUCGUAACUUUAUGUGGCAAAGUAAGUAGCUAAUCGAGGAAAGAUAU